CGUCUGCAGGGAAUGGGACGAUGAGGAGGAAAAAGGUGUCUAGUUAGUGGGACAAAUCUGUGACAUCUUCAGAUGGAGAUCUGGAAACUGUCUUGCUCUCCCAUUCCCCCUGCUUAGAAACUACUCCGAAGUUUACUUCCCAACCCCAGACAACCUGGUGUGUAGAGCUGCUAGAGCACCUGUGACAGGUCGAACAGCAUUUUCAACCUUUCAACAGGGCAGCAGUGUAAAGACGGCAGCUACCUUCUGAAGACAAGACAGUGAAUGAGUCCUACCCACUUUCAAUCCCACCGUCUCCCCCCACCCCCACCACUGCUCUGAGAAAAGGCUACUCUCUCUAAAGAGAAUUAUGGCCUCUUGGAGAGGAGUGAUCAAACGGUGAUUUCACUGAUCCCAAGAAUACCUGAAGUCGGGAAGCUGUCUCUGAGCCAGGAAGCCCUUAUCCCGGCUCCCCGGCCGCCUAUGAUGGAGGAGAGGUCACCUGUACUACCACCACAGCUCCCCACCCCUACCACACAGCAGCGCUGAGAGCCCACUGCAGGCAAGGCACCACACCCACAAAUUUGACAGAAGAAAACAGCAGGGG